rnacentral:rRNA from 1 species
AGUGAACGCUGGCGGUAGGCCUAACACAUGCAAGUCGAACGGCAGCACAGUAAGAGCUUGCUCUUACGGGUGGCGAGUGGCGGACGGGUGAGGAAUACAUCGGAAUCUACUUUUUCGUGGGGGAUAACGUAGGGAAACUUACGCUAAUACCGCAUACGACUUACGGGUGAAAGCAGGGGAUCUUCGGACCUUGCGCGAUUGAAUGAGCCGAUGUCGGAUUAGCUAGUUGGCGGGGUAAAGGCCCACCAAGGCGACGAUCCGUAGCUGGUCUGAGAGGAUGAUCAGCCACACGGGAACUGAGACACGGUCCAGACUCCUACGGGAGGAAGCAGUGGGGAAUAUUGGACAAUGGGCGCAAGCCUGAUCCAGCCAUACCGCGUGGGUGAAGAAGGCCUUCGGGUUGUAAAGCCCUUUUGUUGGGAAAGAAAAGCAGCAGGUUAAUACCCCGCUGUUCUGACGGUACCCAAAGAAUAAGCACCGGCUAACUUCGUG